AAUAAAAACUAAUAUCUAAUUAAUUAACAUUAACAUAAUCUCUAUCAUGCGCUAAAAUUCGGAGCAUUAUGAUCUUCUAGACCCAUGCAUCUGUCCUCGCUUUUCCUGUUUUUCAAGGCCAGUCAAUCUGUUGAAGAAAUAAUAAUAAUAAGAAUUAUGUUUUGUUGGUAGUUCGUAUUUUCAGUUCUAAUUCUUCUUUCAGUCACUCUUUAUUGAUGAGAGAUAAAUGAUAGAAUUGAUCUUUGGUAGUCAAUUGUGGUUAUAAGAUACCUCAAAUCCCAAAUGUAGCCCAUUUCUCUGCGACUAGCAUUCUCGAUGAUUACCUUAAAUAUCAUUGCUUUCGAGCGCUGUAUGUAGCGAAUCAAUUUGUUACGUGACCCAAGGGAUCCAGGGUUUAGGGUUUAGGGUCAGGUCAUCACUAAUAAAAGAGUGAAAGAUGAUAAUUAAAUCACCAUGUUUGAGGAGGUUAUUGCUGUGGUAGAGAAAAUGUAAGGAAUUUGCGAGUUUGAACCUGCAGACUUUAAAGGGAACUAGUUAUCACUUAUAUUGCCCAAAGCAGAUAGUUCGAUGGGAUGUUUGGAAAAUUCCUUUGAAUUUUAUUGCAAAGAUGAACAGGACUUUCAAAGCAACAUGCUUUGCGCAGGAAAGUAAUCAUGGAAUGGAACCUUUUGCAUUUCUGCAAAGACCCUCACAUUUAUGGGAGGAGAGGGUGUGUUUCAAACUUCAGUACCAGAGAAGAGCAGUGGAGAGUGUUGGUCACAAAAGUUCACGUGCUAUAGUGGAAUUACUUCCGAAGUUGGGGGAGUCUUCAUCUAAGAAGAGGGCUAAGUUCUCAAGAGGAAGGGUUACUGGGACAACAACUCCUUCCCAUUUGAGAAACUUCAAAGAAAGUGGAGCCUAUGAUUCUAAUUUGCAACAAGGUCUGAGUUUGCAAAAACCUUUGGUACAGCCUUGUACGGCCCUAAAACCAAUGGGAAAAGAUGAAGACAUGAUUCUAGUUUAAUUUGCUUUUGGUUUGGUGCAAUUUCAUUAAGAUUUGAAUAAAAAUGGCCAUUUUGGUGACUGCGGUCCGAAACCCUACCUAGGGUUUCCAGAAAGCUUAUUUUUUCAAUAUCUCGCCUUCCCACCGUUGGAAAAUCAUGAAAAAUGGUAGGAAGGUCUGCACAUAUAUGUUCUCCAAUGCCAUGAAAGGAUUUGGCAAAACUUCUUGGUUUUCAUAAGUUAUUAACUGCUAUCCUCCUGCUGUUACAAUGUGACUACCAUGAACACUAAGUGCACAAGGGUUUUUGAUCUUAUAAUGCUUUGUUUUGGUUUUCUCAGUGGAAGAAUUGGUUGUAUAGACUCUAAA